UAGCCAAAACGGAUAAAAUAAGCAAUUUCUUCAUUGUCUAGUUACAAAAUCCAUUAGUUUCUGUUAAAGAAGUAAGAUACUGCUAAAUAGAUACAUAUAGAUUGAACAAUGAAUCAGUAGAAACAGAGUCUGUUGCCAAUGUGUUCAGCUCAAACCCCAUUUAGGUUUUGUCUGCGUGCAACUAUGGAAAGAAGUCUAGAAACCCCUUGAGUCCAAAUAUCAUAUUCUCUUUGAUUUCUGCAUUCAAACUCCACAACUCCCCUUACUUCUGUCUUCAAUCCAAAGUAUCUUCUUUCUUCACCCUCAUCAACCAGAUGCCUUCCUGGCCAUGCAGCUAAAUUUGUGCACACAUCCAAAACAACAUCUGCAAAUACAAUUUGAACCAAAACUUAUGAACUGCUUUUAUGGCACCAAAAUAAAGUUAGGUGAUUGAUUACUCUUUUUCUUUUUGGUGAUAGUUCCUGCAACGUGUCUGCUCUUCAUUUUCAACAUUACCUGAAAUUGUUGCUAUAAUUGUGAUGAAUGGGCACCGACUCAAUUCCAUUUCAUAUGACCUUUUGAAAGAAUAAAUACCUCGCCUGUUCGAUGUAUAUAAACUGAAACUAUUUUCCAGUGAAGAUCACCUACAGCAAUCACCAAAAUUGAGUUUAAUAAUUCUGUAAAUAAGAGAAAAUUCUCAUUUUGCUAAUCUAUUGCUGUGUUUGUUAGUUACUGAAAUUACCUUUGCGCGUCCGUUUGAGUAAUGCAGUGCCCCUAGCAAGGAGCUCUUGGUUGCAUGCACCCAAAACAUUGUCACCAUUCAUAAUCUCCCCACUGUCACUGGUGCUAGAAUUACUGUUUUUGCUUUUACCACAUCUUCCAAUACCUGUUCCUCUCUCUAAUGGAGUCACUGCGUUAAUAUUCCACACCUCCUUCAAUGCUCUUGCUUUCAAGGUUGCUGCCCCACGUAGAGCUGCACAUUAAAGGAUCACAUUCACGUCCUUCUUAAGGGAUCAAUAAAAAAUGAAACUACAUAUCCUGCUGCAGCUGUAAGUGUUGAAAUAUCAUCAUGAGAGCGGACAUUGACGGCAGAGCUAACCACAGAAGCAAGGUGAUCUCUCUCAGCUCCCAUUGCUUCAGCGGCCUCUACACACUGAGCAGCAACUAAAGUGGCCGCAGAAGCAACGGACAUGGCCAUCUUCUCAUCCUUGGUAGCUGCAGAUGUGGCUGCUGUUGCGGCAGUGACAGCUGCAACAGCAGCUGCUACGGCAGCAACAGAAACUGCAGCAUGAAGUUGAGCAUUAUGGGUUCUGUUUUCUUCUUUCUUCUUUUCUCUUCUGUCUUUCAACCAUCUUCCUACUGUUUUAGGUCCGGAGCUAGGAGUGGCAUUGCCUGUAGCACCACUCAUGGCUCGUCCACCAUUGAAUAAGGGAUGAAUGGAGUUGUUUGCCCGAAAAAACUGCAGUAGAUUGAUGAGGUUUGGCAUUAUUGUUCUUCAUCGUUGACCAAUUUAACAUUAUGAAGUUGUUCCAUCUCAAAUCGAGAGAUUGCUUAGUGUUGGCUAAACUGAUUUUUAAUAAAACUAAGUUGAUUAAGCUUUAACAUAAAAUUUCCUUUAAGUGUAAAAAUUAUCUAAAAUUGUUUAAAUUCAGAAUCAAAUACAUAAUUCAUUAAAAAGUAACAUAAUUGCUAUUUCAGCAUGAUUAAGAAGAAUCUAAUUCGACCAGACAUGCGCUUUAUCAGUUUCUGUUUAAUCUUUCAUUUAAUGGUUCCUGUGAUAUGGGUAAGAACAUUAAACAGAUUUUGGACUUGCAGAAAAAACCCCACUAGUCUUUUCCUGUGCCAACUCUAGCUUUGGUUCAUUUCUAGUAAAAAGGACAAAUUGGACUUUUUCUAUCUGCGAGCAAAAUUUCCAAAACAAGAAGAUUGUUUUGUUUGCGUGAAUGCGAAGAUAAGGUACACUGAACAGUCAAAACCUUUGUCCUGUUGUGAGACAAUCACCUGGCAGGUAAGACAACUUAACUGGAA
rnacentral:sRNA from 1 species